rnacentral:lncRNA from 1 species
GUUCUGUUGAACUGUUGUGCAUAGUGACAGCAAACCUGUACCAAACACUGAAAAUAGCAGUGUCUUAUUUCAAAUGUAUUUAAUAUUGAGUUUUAAUUUUCAAGACUGUCAUGGAGGAGAUACUACUUUAAAUCAGUGCCCACCUUUCAUAUAUUUUUUUAGCUAGUUAUUACUUUUAAUAUCAAACCCACAUAUUGGCCAAC